AGCGAACGCUGGCGGCAGGCUUAACACAUGCAAGUCGAGCGGGCACUCCGGUCUCAUCGGCAGACGGCUGAGUAACACGUGGGAACGUACCCUUUGGUUCGGAAUAACGCUGGGAAACUAGCGCUAAUACCGGAUACGCCCUUUUGGGGAAAGGCUUGCUGCCGAAGGGUCGGCCCGCGUCUGAUUAGCUAGUUGGUGGGGUAAUGGCCUACCAUGACGACGAUCAGUAGCUGGUUUGAGAGGAUGAUCAGCCACACUGGGGCUACGACACGGCCCAGACUCCUACGGGAGGCAGCAGUGGGGAAUAUAGGACAGGGGGCGCAAUGCUGAACCAGCCAGGCCGGGGGAGUGAUGAAGUCCGUAGUGUAGUAAAGCUCUUUUGUCCGUGAAGAUAAUGACGGUACCGGAAGAAUAAGCCCCGGCUAACUUCGUG
rnacentral:rRNA from 1 species